UACGUAGGUGGCGAGCGUUGUCCGGAUUUACUGGGCGUAAAGAGCGCGCAGGCGGUCGUGCAAGUCGCGUGUGAAAGCCCCCGGCUCAACUGGGGAGGGUCACGCGAUACUGCUCGACUCGAAGGCAGGAGAGGGAAGCGGAAUUCCCGGUGUAGUGGUGAAAUGCGUAGAUAUCGGGAGGAACACCAGUGGCGAAGGCGGCUUCCUGGACGACAACUGACGCUGAGACGCGAAAGCGUGGGGAGCAAACAGG
rnacentral:rRNA from 1 species